rnacentral:tRNA from 13 species
CGCGGGGUGGAGCAGUUCGGUAGCUCGCUGGGCUCAUAACCCAGAGGUCGCAGGUUCAAAUCCUGUCCCCGCUAC